rnacentral:rRNA from 1 species
UACGGAGGGUGCGAGCGUUUGUCCGGAAUCACUGGGCGUAAAGGGCGCGUAGGUGGCGCGGGCAGUCAACGGUGAAAGUUCGGGGGCUUCAACCCUGAAUCGGCCGUCGAUACUCCCGGGCUUGAGCACUGUAGAGGUUAAUGGAAUUCCGGGUGUAGCGGGUGGAAUGCGUAGAGAUCCGGAAGAACACCGGUGGCGAAGGCGGUUAGCUGGGGCAGUUGCUGACACUGAGGCGCGACAGCGUGGGGAGCAAACAGG